rnacentral:rRNA from 1 species
CCCUUAGAUGUUCUGAACCACACGCGUGUUACACUGAUGCAUUCAACGAGCUUUACCUUGGCCGAGAGGCCUGGGAAAUCUUUUUAGCAUGCAUCGUGAUAGGGAUUGAUUAUUGCAAUUAUUAAUCAUGAACGAGGAAUUCCUAGUAAACGCAUUUCAUCAAAAUGCAUUGAUUACGUCCCUGCCCUUUGUACACACCGCCCGUCGCACCUACCGAUUGAGUGGUCCGGUGAAGUCUCGAGAUUGUGGCAAUCUCCUUUAUUGGAGUUUGACUGCGAGAACUUGCCUAAACCUUAUCACUUAGAGGAAGGUGAAGUCGUAACA